rnacentral:rRNA from 1 species
GAGUUUGAUCCUGGCUCAGGAUGAACGCUGGCGGCGUGCUUAACACAUGCAAGUCGAACGAUGAAGCCCAGCUUGCUGGGUGGAUUAGUGGCGAACGGGUGAGUAACACGUGAGUAACCUGCCCUUAACUCUGGGAUAAGCCUGGGAAACUGGGUCUAAUACCGGAUAGGAGCGUCCACCGCAUGGUGGGUGUUGGAAAGAUUUAUCGGUUUUGGAUGGACUCGCGGCCUAUCAGCUUGUUGGUGAGGUAAUGGCUCACCAAGGCGACGACGGGUAGCCGGCCUGAGAGGGUGACCGGCCACACUGGGACUGAGACACGGCCCAGACUCCUACGGGAGGCAGCAGUGGGGAAUAUUGCACAAUGGGCGCAAGCCUGAUGCAGCGACGCCGCGUGAGGGAUGACGGCCUUCGGGUUGUAAACCUCUUUCAGUAGGGAAGAAG